UACGUAGGGUGCAAGCGUUAAUCGGAAUUACUGGGCGUAAAGCGUGCGUAGGCGGCUUUGCAAGUCGGGUGUGAAAUCCCCAGGCUUAACCUGGGAACUGCAUUCGAGACUGCAUUGCUAGAGUAUGGGAGAGGGAAGUGGAAUUUCCGGUGUAGCGGUGAAAUGCGUAGAUAUCGGAAGGAACAUCAGUGGCGAAAGCGACUUCCUGGACCAAUACUGACGCUCAUGUGCGAAAGCGUGGGGAGCAAACAGG
rnacentral:rRNA from 1 species